UUUUAAAUUGCUGUGGUAUUUUGACUAUACAAAGGUAUUGUAAUAAGACUUUAAUUGAGUGCUAAAAGAAUGGAAUUACAAAAAAAGGCUUUUUUAAUUUUAAAAAUUAAAAUUAUUUUUUUUUGUGAAGAAACAAAAAUUUAAAUUAAAGACAAGAAGACCCUAAGAAUUUUUUUUUUUAUUUUAAAAAAUAUUUUAUUUUAAAAAUUUAAUUGGGGCGAUUAAUUAAUAUUAAAAACUUUAUUAACAAAAAAAAUGAUCCAUUAUUAAUGAUUAUUUGAUUAAAAUACUCUAGGGAUAACAGCGUAAUAAUUUUUGAUAGUUCUUAUAGAAAAAAUAGUUUGCGACCUCGAUGUUGGAUUAGGAUUCUUUUUUAAUGAAGAAGU
rnacentral:rRNA from 1 species